GAUGAACGCUGGCGGCGUGCCUAAUACAUGCAAGUCGAGCGAACAGACGAGGCUCUUGCUCCUCUGACGUUAGCGGCAGACGUGUGAAUCACACGUGUAUAACCUACCUAUCAUACUGGGAUAACUUCGGAAAACCGGCGCUAAUCGCGUAUGAUAUAUUGAACCGCAGGGUGCAAUGGUGAGUGACGGUUGUGGUGUCACUUAUAGCUGGAUCCCGGCCGGAUUAGCUAGUUGGUACGGUAACGGCUUACCAAGGCGACGAUGCGUAGCCGACCGGAGGGGGUGAUCGGCCACAUGGGAGCUGAGACACGGUCCAGACGACUACGGGAGGCAGCAGUAGGGAAUCGGCGGCAAAGGUGGAAAGCAUGACGGAGCAACCGCGCGUGAGUGACGAAGGUCCCCCGAUCGUAAAACCCUGCUACGAGGGAAGAACAAAUGUGUAAGGAACCAUGCACGUCUUGACGGUACUUAAUAAGAAAGCCCCGGCUAACUACGUG
rnacentral:rRNA from 1 species